rnacentral:rRNA from 1 species
GACGAACGCUGGCGGCGUGCUUAACACAUGCAAGUCGAACGGAAAGGCCCUGCUUUUGUGGGGUGCUCGAGUGGCGAACGGGUGAGUAACACGUGAGUAACCUGCCCUUGACUUUGGGAUAACUUCAGGAAACUGGGGCUAAUACCGGAUAGGAGCUCCUGAUGCAUGGUGGGGGUUGGAAAGUUUCGGCGGUUGGGGAUGGAUUCGCGGGUUAUCAGCUUGUUUGUGGGGUAGUCGAUGACCAAGGCUUUGACGGAUAGCCGGCCUGAGAGCGUUACCGGCCACAUGGGUACUGCGAUACGGCGCAGACUGCUACGUGACGCAGCAGUCGGGAAUAUUGCAGAGUGGGCCGACGUCUGUUGCAGCAACGCCGCGUGCGGAAUGACGUCUUACGGGGUGUAAACAGAUGUCUCCUGUGACGAAGCGUGAGUGACGGUAAUUGGUCAAGAAGCACCGGCUAACUACGUG